CCUACGGGAGGCAGCAGUGGGGAAUAUUGCACAAUGGGGGAAACCCUGAUGCAGCGACGCCGCGUGAGUGAAGAAGGAUUUCGGUAUGGAAAGCUCUUUUAGCAGGGAAGAAAAUGACGGUACCUGUUUAGGAAGCCCCGGCUAACUACGUGCCAGCAGCCGCGGUAAUACGUAGGGGGCCAGCGUUAUACGGAUUUACUGGGUGUAAAGGGAGCGUAGGCGGCAGCAAAAGUCUGGAGUGAAAUGCCGGGGCUUAAACCCGGCACUGCAUUGGAAACUGUGCAGCUGGAGUGCAGGGGAGGUAAGUGGAAUUCCUAGUGUAGCGGUGAAAUGCGUAGAUAUUAGGAGGAACACCAGUGGCGAAGGCGGCUUACUGGACUGUAACUGACGUUGAGGCUCGAAAGCGUGGGGAGCAAACAGGAUUAGAUACCCCUGUAGUC
rnacentral:rRNA from 1 species